CCAACGAACAACGUAUUCCCACGGCCUCCCUAUCCUCUUCCUCCUCUGUUUCCCCCAGUGCCGGUCGUGCAAAUGCCCAAAGGUCCGUGGAAAGGAGUCUACCUCGUCUACCCGCCUGUCGACCUUCGACUGGCCCCUACGAGAGUCAAGUGGGAUACGUUGUAAAGAGUUCUCGAGAAGGAGAAACUGUUUCACAACAAAUGACAUCAGGAAGACAUUAAACUGCGUAGACCAAACUGUGUGGGGCUACAAUGUGGCAAAAACAAAAAGCCAGAUCCAUAUGUUCUAUUUCCAGAAAU